rnacentral:rRNA from 1 species
GUGUCAGCAGCCGCGGUAAAACGUAGGAGACAAACGUUAUCCGGAGUUACUGGGCGUAAAGGGCGUGUAGGUGGUUUCGUAAGUCUGGCGUGAAAUAUCUCGGCUUAACCGAGGCAGGUCGUCGGAUACUGCGAGACUCGAGGACGGUAGAGGCGUGUGGAAUUCCGGGUGUAGUGGUGAAAUGCGUAGAGAUCCGGAGGAACACCAGUGGCGAAGGCGACACGCUGGGCCGUACCUGACACUGAUGCGCGACAGCAUGGGGAGCAAACAGGAUUAGAAACCCUGGUAGUCC